UCGGGAAUUUUGGGCAAUGGGGGAAACCCUGACCCAGCAACGCCGCGUGAAGGAUGAAGGCCUUCGGGUCGUAAACUCCUGUCGACCGGGACGAACGCUAUUGGGCCCAAUACGCCCGAUAGUCGACUGUACCGGUGGAGGAAGUCACGGCUAACUCUGUGCCAGCAGCCGCGGUAAUACAGAGGUGGCAAGCGUUGUUCGGAAUUACUGGGCGUAAAGGGCUCGUAGGCGGCCAACUAAGUCAGACGUGAAAUCCCUCGGCUUAACCGGGGAACUGCGUCUGAUACUGGAUGGCUUGAGGUUGGGAGAGGGAUGCGGAAUUCCAGGUGUAGCGGUGAAAUGCGUAGAUAUCUGGAGGAACAC
rnacentral:rRNA from 1 species